NNNNNNNNNNNNNNNNNNNNNNNNNNNNNNNNNNNNNNCAUACGCAGCCACUAUACACAGACCUACACUCACAUGCACACACACACCUACACACACAUUAAGACACCGACACACACAUAUACACACCUACACAGCGAUGUACACACACACGUAACACAUACACCUACACACACAUCUACACACACCUACACACCCACCACCUACAUCCACACUUAGAGACACAAGCUACAGCCACGCACCUACACCCACCCCUACACCCACCCACCCCUACAAACACACCUACACACACAUCUACACAUACCUACACAUACCUACACACAUAUGCACACACAUACACACCCACCUAUACACAAACUUACACACACAUACAAACACAUACACACCCACCUAUACACAGACCUACACACACACCCACACACUCACCUACACUCACACCUACACACACAUCUACACAUACCAACACACAUCCACACACAUGUACACACACCUACAUACCUACCUACACACACCCACCUACACAUAACCUACACACAUGUACACACACACCUACACACCCACCUACACACACACACACCUACACACAUCUACAUAUACCUACACACACACCUACACACAAUCUACACAUACCUACACACACAUAUACACACAUGCACACCUACAUCCACACACAUCUACACACACACCUACCCACACACCUGCACACACCUACACACACAUCUACCCAUACCUACACACACAUACACACACAUGCACACCCAUGUACACACACCUACACACACCCAUGUACACCCACCUACACACACCCACACCCACACCUACACACACCUAUACUCACACCUACACACACACCCAUACACCCACAUACAUAUACCUACACACACAUACACACACACCUACACACCCAUGUACACACACACCUACACACAUCUAUACACACCUAUACACAUACCUACACACACAUCUACACAUGCCUUCAGACACCUACACAUACAUACACACACAUUUAUGCAUACCCACACACACAUACACACAGCUACACAACCCAUCUAUACCCACACCUACACACAUCUACACAUACCUACACCCACACCUACACACACCACACACACCCACAUGCACACACACACCCCUACACACACACGCACACCUACGCACACACACACAUCCCUGCUGGGCAGCUUCCUCCAGAGGUGCACGUGCGGCUAUCACGUCUCCCACCCCGUCUUCCCUCUCUUUCCUCUGCCUUUCCAGCCACAGGGCUCAGCGAAGGAGAGAUUUUUCUCUCAAGUACCAAAGUCUGCUUGAGGCUUGGCUUUGUAGCUGGAGGGCAGACCAGGCAGGAGCGGGCGUCCUGAGGGGUGCGGCGGGAGGCAGCUGGCAGCUGAUAAGUCAGGCGCAUGGCUGGCGACUGGCAGAGCCUCUCACACAAGUGCUGGCAGCCAGGGCUCCCUGUGCAGCCCGAGAGGACUUAGCAGGACCAGGGACAGGACGUGGACGUGGCCAGUUCUUCCGCUGGGCAGUCGUGGCUGUGGGUGCACCAUGCCUCAACUUCCACUGCAUUUAUCAGUGCAUCCCUCG
ensembl:lncRNA